rfam:Gonapodya prolifera JEL478 unplaced genomic scaffold M427scaffold_95, whole genome shotgun sequence.
GCACAGGUGUCCGAGUGGUUUAAGGAGUUGCACUCAAGUUGCAAUGGAGCAAUCCGCAUGAGUUCGAAUCUCAUCCUGUGCA